GAUGAACGCUGGCGGCGUGCCUAAUACAUGCAAGUCGAGCGAACAGAUGAGGAGCUUGCUCCUCUGACGUUAGCUGCGGACGGGUGAGUAACACGUGGAUAACCUACCUAUAAGACUGGGAUAACUUCGGGAAACCGGAGCUAAUACCGGAUAAUAUAUUGAACCGCAUGGUUCAAUAGUGAAAGACGGUUUUGCUGUCACUUAUAGAUGGAUCCGCGCCGCAUUAGCUAGUUGGUAAGGUAACGGCUUACCAAGGCGACGAUGCGUAGCCGACCUGAGAGGGUGAUCGGCCACACUGGAACUGAGACACGGUCCAGACUCCUACGGGAGGCAGCAGUAGGGAAUCUUCCGCAAUGGGCGAAAGCCUGACGGAGCAACGCCGCGUGAGUGAUGAAGGUCUUCGGAUCGUAAAACUCUGUUAUUAGGGAAGAACAAAUGUGUAAGUAACUAUGCACGUCUUGACGGUACCUAAUCAGAAAGCCACGGCUAACUACGUG
rnacentral:rRNA from 1 species